rnacentral:rRNA from 1 species
CAAUAGCGUAUAUUAAAGUUGUUGCAGUUAAAAAGCUCGUAGUUGGAUUUCGGGGCAGCCUGGCUGGUCCGCCGCAAGGCGAGUACUGGUCAGCCGCCCUUCCUCUCGAAAGCCCCGACUGCUCUUUAUUGCAGUGGUCGGGUAGUUCGGGACGUUUACUUUGAAAAAAUUAGAGUGUUCAAGGCAGGCCUACGCCUGAAUACAUUAGCAUGGAAUAAUGGAAGAGGACCUCGGUCCUAAUUUGUUGGUUUCCAGGACCGAAGUAAUGAUUAAGAGGGACAGUUGGGGGCAUUCGUAUUUAAUUGUCAGAGGUGAAAUUCUCGGAUUUAUGAAAGACGAACAACUGCGAAAGCAUUUGCCAAGGAUGUUUUCAUUAA